UACGUAGGGGGCAAGCGUUAUCCGGAUUUACUGGGUGUAAAGGGAGCGUAGGUGGUAAGGCAAGCCAGAAGUGAAAGCCCGGGGCUCAACCCCGAGGAUUGCUUUUGGAACUGUCGAACUAGAGUGCAGGAGGGGCAAGCGGAAUUCCUAGUGUAGCGGUGAAAUGCGUAGAUAUUAGGAGGAACACCAGUGGCGAAGGCGGAUUGCUGGACUGUAACUGACACUGAGGCACGAAAGCGUGGGGAGCAAACAGG
rnacentral:rRNA from 1 species